rnacentral:rRNA from 1 species
UACAGGAGGUCUCAAGCGUUGUUCGGAUUCAUUGGGCGUAAAGGGUGUGUAGGUGGCGCGCUAAGUCGGGUGUGAAAUUUCGGAGCUUAACUCCGAAACUGCAUUCGAUACUGGCGUGCUUGAGGACUGGGAGAGGAGACUGGAAUUCAUGGUGUAGCAGUGAAAUGCGUAGAGAUCAUGAGGAAGACCAGUGGCGAAGGCGGGUCGCUGGACAGUUCCUACACU